rnacentral:rRNA from 1 species
GCUCAACCGAAGAAGUGCAUCGGAAACUGGGAAACUUGAGUGCAGAAGAGGACAGUGGAACUCCAUGUGUAGCGGUGAAAUGCGUAGAUAUAUGGAAGAACACCAGUGGCGAAGGCGGCUGUCUGGUCUGUAACUGACGCUGAGGCUCGAAAGUAUGGGUAGCAAACAGGAUUAGAUACCCUGGUAGUCCAUACCGUAAACGAUGAAUGCUAAGUGUUGGAGGGUUUCCGCCCCUCAGUGCUGCAGCUAACGCAUUAAGCAUUCCGCCUGGGGAGUACGGCCGCAAGGCUGAAACUCAAAGGAAUUGACGGGGGCCCGCACAAGCGGUGGAGCAUGUGGUUUAAUUCGAAGCUACGCGAAGAACCUUACCAGGUCUUGACAUACUAUGCAAAUCUAAGAGAUUAGACGUUCCCUUCGGGGACAUGGAUACAGGUGGUGCAUGGUUGUCGUCAGCUCGUGUCGUGAGAUGUUGGGUUAAGUCCCGCAACGAGCGCAACCCUUAUUAUCAGUUGCCAGCAUUAAGUUGGGCACUCUGGUGAGACUGCCGGUGACAAACCGGAGGAAGGUGGGGAUGACGUCAAAUCAUCAUGCCCCUUAUGACCUGGGCUACACACGUGCUACAAUGGAUGGUACAACG